rnacentral:rRNA from 1 species
UCCAGACUCCUACGGGAGGCAGCAGUGGGGGAUAUUGCACAAUGGGGGGAACCCUGAUGCAGCGACGCCGCGUGGGUGAAGGAGCGUUUCGGCGCGUAAAGCCCUAUCGGCAGGGAAGAAGGAGGACGGUACCUGACUAAGAAGCCCCGGCUAACUACGUGCCAGCAGCCGCGGUAAUACGUAGGGGGCAAGCGUUAUCCGGAUUUACUGGGUGUAAAGGGGGCGCAGACGGCAGCGCAAGCCAGGAGUGAAAGCCCGGGGCCCAACCCCGGGACUGCUCUUGGAACUGCGCGGCUGGAGUGCAGGAGGGGCAGGCGGAAUUCCUGGUGUAGCGGUGAAAUGCGUAGAUAUCAGGAGGAACACCGGUGGCGAAGGCGGCCUGCUGGACUGCGACUGACGUUGAGGCCCGAAAGCGUGGGGAACAAACAGGAUUAGAUACCCGAGUAC